AGAGGAAGGUGGGGAUGACGUCAAAUCAGCACGGCCCUUAUGUCCAGGGCUACACACGUGUUACAAUGGCCGGUACAAAGGGCAGCUACUUCGCGAGAAGAUGCUAAUCUCGAAAGCCGGUCUCAGUUCGGAUCGAAGUCUGCAACCCGACUUCGUGAAGCUGGAUUCGCUAGUAAUCGCGCAUCAGCCAUGGCGCGGUGAAUACGUUCCCGGGCCUU
rnacentral:rRNA from 1 species